UGGAACCUAAUAUUCAAAAUACAAUCCCCACUUGUCAACAUUUGAGUGCUUGUACUAUGUAAAAAGUGCAGUGUAGCUGUCUGAAUGGGACAUUGUCUGAUUUACCUCCAUGCUCGUGGGAAAAUAAACAUUCACAGUGACAGCAAAACACAUCGCUUACAUUUUCACGUAUCGCAGGAAGAAAUGGAUCUGCUUCUUUUAGCUCAUUGUUGAAAACGCAUUUUUAUUUGGCCAUUUCUAACUUGCCCUGACUGGCAGGAUGACAAAGAGCGCAAGCGCAUGACGUCAUUUCAAUGGUAACCAGAUACAUUUCAGCUGAUUGAAAGUAUUGUCAAAUCAACGUGCGACGCAUCAAAAUUGCUUCUCCCCUUUGCAAACGAUACCAGAGACAACAGCUAGAAGGACAAUGAGGAUAUUAAUUUAAGAAGAAAAAAAAUCAGUGAGCUUACCAGCUGAAACCGGGACAUAAUAAAAAUUUUUUAGAGAAUUGUCGGGACACCGGGACACACUUCUUCUAACGUCUGGUCACCCUAUUGUUACUAUCAAAACAUCUGUAACAAGGCUUGGGAAACUGAGCAGGAUUUGAACCGGCCUCUCCGGCAUGGGAGUGGUGGAUGAGGGUACGAGCCCCGCUUUCAGGAGCUCAAGCAGGUUGUCACUGCUGUUACCAUCAUACCUGCAAACUCAGAUUAUGGAUGCUGUCCAAAGAGCACAUGAUGGCCAGCCAGUGGAGAAGAUCACCAAGAGCCAGCCUCCUUGUGUCAUCCUCUAACAACUCAUAACCCUUCACGUUUGGCUUAAUUUACUGUUCCUGCACAUGAUCUGUUAUCAUGAAAAUGCAAGGCUUAAACUCAAUAAGCAAAUGAUAUAAAUGUCUAAAGAGAGAGGUGCAGGAUCCUCAAACAUCGCCUCCUCUUCACUCCUUCUGUCUGGUUGCUGGACAUAAAUGAUUAUCGUAACUCUAAAGUUGGUAAUUACGGUAUGAGGCCUGCAGUCCAUGCAGCCUUAAAGCAGGAGGAGAAAGUCGGGGGAAGGUAAGGAGGAAGCCAAUAGUGAGGUUAAUGUCUGUAUAGUGAGUUCCUGUUUGGAUAGUCACAUUGCCACCUGGGGUCACUGUUAUUCUGUUUAUUUGUUGCCUUUUCAUGUUUGGGGGUUUGUAAUAAAGAAUAAAUGCAAAAUGUGUAAUGAUAAUGCUAAAAUACUAAAAACAGUUGCUGUAAGAAGGGAAUGUUCAAUUCACCUACAGUAAAUAUGCAGAGGUCUUUGUGGAGGUGUCACAUCAGACUUGAAGUUUUAAGGGACCUCUUGUGUUUACUUGUCCUUUAUGUCCACCAUCCACAUUUCAGCAUGAAGAGAUCUCAUCUAAUAAAAAAAAAAAGAGCAUAAAAAAUGUGAAUCCUUGGAAUGUUUGUUUAAAGUACUAUAGGGAAUAUACAGCUGAAACUGAUUUCAUAAGGCUCAGGCAGUAUACUGGCAAGCAUUUUUAUGGAGUAGUUUUGUGUGUUUUUCUUAAUUAUAGUGUUAGAGAAUUUUUCAAUGACUUUGAGCCACGGCCACACGGUUAGCACAUUUAUUUACUCUUUGUAGAAUCGACUUACUACUGAAGUCUUUGUGAAUACUUUCUAUGACACACAUACUGUAUAGUUAAUGAAAUGAUGCACCUUCAGUCAGUUCUGACUUCUGAUUUUGUUGGAUGAUAUAGUUAUAAACUUGGAAUGGAGCAACA